rnacentral:rRNA from 1 species
AUGUUACUAACUACCUGCCAUACGCCUUUCGUGGAUCCCCACGUAGCUGACCGACCUCUUGCUCAUCGCGCGACGAGGGUUUCACAUGCUGGCACGGCGCUUGUGCUCGGGUCCGUUCCUGCAAUGCCGAUAAACCUGUGCGAUCGAGCUCUGGCUCAUGGCCCGCUCCACGCACGUCACCUCACUAGAUCCUCAGUGCCUUCAUCUUCUUGUGGAAAGAACAGCGGUAGGACAGCGACGCGAUUACGAGUCAUGCUCUUCUCUCGAACUAACCCACAAGAAUCUCCGGGGCUCAACUACAGGCGACCUCGCCGACCGCCCCUUUUCCUACACAAUUCACUUGUGCGUUAA